GAUGAACGCUGGCGGCGUGCCUAAUACAUGCAAGUCGAGCGGACAGACGAGGAGCUUGCUCCGCUGACGUUAGCGGCGGACGUGUGAGUAACACGUGGAUAACCUACCUGUAAGACGGGGAUAACUUCGGAAAACCGGAUCUAAUCCCGUAGAAUAUAUUGCACCGCAGGGUGCGUUAGUAAGAGACGGUGUUGCUGGCACUUAUAGAGGGAUCCGCGCCGCAUGGGAUGGUUGUGAAGGUAACGGCUUACCAAGGCAACGAUGCGUAGCCGACCUGAGAGGGGGAUAGGCGACCCUGGAACUGGGACACGGUCAAGACUCCUACGGGAGGCAGCAGUAGGGAAUGUUCCGCAACGGGGGAAAGCAUGACGGAGUAACCCCGAGCGAGUGAUGAAGGUGUCGCGAUCGUAAAACCCUGUUACUAGGGAAGAACCAAUGUGUCAGUAAAUAUGCACGUAUUGACGGUAACUAAUAAGAAAGCACCGGCUAACUACGUG
rnacentral:rRNA from 1 species